ACUGGUACUGCACCGGCACAAAUCAAUUCGCAGGGUGAAACAUGUGAUUCGUUACCUAAUCCGGAGGCACCUGAACCAAUCUCGCAGCAGGAAUUGACCCACAUUGUUGCCAGCAACGUGGGCAAUGUUCAGGUGUCACCCACCCUUAUCCCCAGUCAACGGAUUCAAGAUCAGGAGCGCGAUGGACAGACCGAACAAAUUGCUAUCUCUCCUUCUCCACGGCCAACGACGCCACAUUCCAGUCACCUUGAUAGGUUGUUAGAGACACCAGAGACCUCUAACUUUGAUAAGUUGGUACAAGCUGCUCCGUCGGCUAAGCUACUCGAAUUUGACUCAAAGGAAAACAUC